rnacentral:rRNA from 1 species
UACGUAGGGUGCAAGCGUUAAUCGGAAUUACUGGGCGUAAAGCGCGCGUUAGGUGGUUUGUUAAGUUGGAUGAUCGAAAUCCCCGGGCUCAACCUGGGAACUGCAUUCAAAACUGACAAGCUAGAGUAUGGUAGAGGGUGGUGGAAUUUCCUGUGUAAGCGGUGAAAUCGUAGAUAUAGGAAGGAACACCAGUGGCGAAGGCGACCACCUGGACUGAUACUGACACUGAGGUGCGAAAGCGUGGGGAGCAAACAGG